CGGACCUACCACGUUGAAACACCGUUUCUCGUACGUUCACUGAAGUUAAGCAACUUCGAGGUUGGUCACUACCAGGAUGGGUGUACGCUUGGGAAUACAGGUGAUGU